rnacentral:rRNA from 1 species
UACGUAGGGUGCGAGCGUUGUCCGGAAUUAUUGGGCGUAAAGGGCUCGUAGGCGGUUUGUCGCGUCGGGAGUGAAAACCAGGUGCUUAACACCUGGCUUGCUUUCGAUACGGGCAGACUAGAGGUAUGCAGGGGAGAACGGAAUUCCUGGUGUAGCGGUGAAAUGCGUAGAUAUCUGGAGGAACACCGGUGGCGAAGGCGGCAUCCUGGACCGACACUGACGCUGAGGAGCGAAAGCCAGGGGAGCAAACGGG